rnacentral:miRNA from 1 species
UUGAAGGAUUUGUAAGAAAUGUUUGAGGAAACUAACUCAGUGUUAAACAGUGAGUCAGUUUCCUCAAACAUUUCUUACAAAUCCUUCAA